GAAAGACCAACAGAAAACCAAAAUGACUGACAGUGGGCAUUUACUUAACUUUUUAUUAUUAUUAUUAUUUCCACAGAAUGUGCAAGUCUCACAAUCAAAGAAGCAUAAUUGCAAGAUCUUAAAACAUUGAAAUUUAAACCUUGUAAUGCAGUUUUUGCAGAUAUCAUUUCACAAAUGCUGUUGAAAUCCCAGUCAUGUCCUGACUUGUGCCAGAAAGCACUUUACAAAAUUUUGCCUGUGGCUCUGGCUCUUUGGUUGCUUGUUUUGUUUUGGGAUAUGCUCGUCUAUUUUUGGAAAAACUGUUACAAAGGAAGCCGUGAGAUGCAGCAGAAACAAUCGAAUGCAGUGAGCUCCACCCUGGGUCUGCCUCCACCCGGACCGUCUGACUUAAGCAGCAGGAAAUCACAUCUACCCAGAACAAGCCGGCAAGAGCUGAGUCCAGGCAGGAGCAACCCUGGGCACUGCUUGGAAACGCUUUCUAAGCACUCCAGUGUUAAAGGAGGUGUUAAAUGAUUGCUUAUACUAAACAUUUACUGAAAAAUAAUCACCUACUGCUAGCUGACAUCCAUCUAAAGUAGAGAAGAUUCCCAAGGUGAUUAUCUACUGUUUUAUGUA
rnacentral:lncRNA from 1 species